rnacentral:rRNA from 1 species
GACAGAGGAUGCAAGCGUUAUCCGGAAUGAUUGGGCGUAAAGCGUCUGUAGGUGGCCUUUUAAGUCCGCCGUCAAAUCCCAGGGCUCAACCCUGGACAGGCGGUGGAAACUACCAAGCUGGAGUACGGUAGGGGCAGAGGGAAUUUCCGGUGGAGCGGUGAAAUGCGUAGAGAUCGGGAGGAACACCAGUGGCGAAGGCGGCUACCUGGACCAGCACUGACACUGAGGCACGAAAGCGUGGGGAGCGAACAGG